AGAGGGCAAAAGUCAAAAGACAUCAAGUAAUGACUCAAAAGGGUUCAAUUUCAUAAAAAGGUGAACGUUGACCAGCGCAAAUGUCAACAAAUGCAUGACAAAAAAACAUCAUCCACUUCCUCUCGGUAGACAACCACCCAGAGAAAGUAGAGGGUAGAGAACUCGCAACAAUAACACCACUGAUAAGAUGGGAUGCAGAUGAAACCGAGGGGGAAGCACAAUCCAGUGAGGUGUAAAAAGAUUACAAUCACAGAAAAAAAAAAAAACAGGGAGGGCAAAACAGUGCAGUGGGUGAAUGUCAACUGUUCACACAGUAGUUUGGUGUGAAAACUACAUGUGGCAGUUACGUUGAUGUUUAUGUGCAUUGGAAAAGUGACAAACUUAUUGUAGUGGACAUUUAUUUUUGUGAUGACCCAACAAAGGAGAGAAACACCAAACCCAUGCAGCAUGUACCCAUUUCUGCAGUAACCAUGACCACCACCAGGAGUCCCAUACAACACUAUUAACAUGGGAGAGGGAAAGGGAAAGUUCAAUCAUGGAGUGGAAAGUUGAAAAGCAGUAAAGCACAGAAAAAGCUUGAACAUUUCAUUGAUGUUACUUCAACAUAGGCUUUCGGGUAGAGCAGGUUUUGAGCACCGAGGGGAAGAAAAUGGAGCAAACAAAGCACUUAAUAAUUAUGUGCCAGACAGAAGGAUUGGUAUGAAAAGACAUGGGGCAGGGGGG